UACGUAGGGCGCAAGCGUUAUCCGGAAUUAUUGGGCGUAAAGAGCUCGUAGGCGGCUUGUCGCGUCGACUGUGAAAACCCGCGGCUCAACUGCGGGCCUGCAGCCGAUACGGGCAGGCUAGAGUUCGGUAGGGGAGACUGGAAUUCCUGGUGUAGCGGUGAAAUGCGCAGAUAUCAGGAGGAACACCGGCGGCGAAGGCGGCGUCCUGGACCUGGCCUGACGCUCAGGAGCGAAAGCGUGGGGAGCGAUCCGG
rnacentral:rRNA from 1 species